rnacentral:ncRNA from 1 species
UCCUUGGUUGAUCCUGCCAGGAGCAUGUUUGUCUCAAAGAUUAAGCCACGCAUGUCUAAGUACUCAUGGCUGCUACAAUGAAACUGUGAACGGCUCAUUAAAUCAGUUAUGUUUCCAUUGGUUGCUUACUCAUGUCCUACUUAGAUAACUGGUAAUUCUAGAGCUACUACAAGCACUGACAUCCCUCGUUGUGGGUAUGCAUGGCAUGCAUUUAUCAGAUCGAAACCACUUGGUCCCUAUACAAUAGAAGCCAGUUGUCUUAGUGAGCUGAUGUCCUUCAUGUCCUGAAUGCCAUUUCAUCCGCUCUCCUCCCAAGUUGGUUGGCAGUAGCUUGAGGAGUUUUGAGAGGAAGAAGGACUUUCUGUGUCAUUGGACCCUUUCCUUUGGAUAGGUUUCUGGGGAUGAGGCAGUUGGAGCCAGGCUGUUGGGAGGAGUAGGCAAAGGUGUUUUGACAUUUUCCUGAUAAUGUCUGUGCUCAGUGAGAGGGUGUGUUUGUUCUCCAAGAAUUGGAGGUCAUUGGGUUGGAACUGUGGCUAUUUUUUCCCUAGAAGCCAGAAAGAAGAGGAGGAG